UACGGGGGGGGCAAGCGUUGUUCGGAAUUACUGGGCGUAAAGGGCUCGCAGGCGGCCGACUAAGUCAGACGUGAAAUCCCUUGGCUUAACCAAGGAAUGGCGUCUGAUACUGGACGGCUUGAAUCCGGGAGAGGGAUGUGGAAUUCCAGGUGUAGCGGUGAAAUGCGUAGAUAUCUGGAGGAACACCGGUGGCGAAGGCGGCAUCCUGGACCGGUAUUGACGCUGAGGAGCGAAAGCCAGGGGAGCAAACGGG
rnacentral:rRNA from 2 species